rnacentral:rRNA from 1 species
CAGUCGUACCGGCGGGUAAUCAGCCUUUCGGGUACGAUUCUGUGGAGCGUGAGGAGUUAAACGCCUUCGUGCCUGCAUAUUCGUGUACUUUGGGUGUGCUUGCCUGUGUGGUUAGUUAACAUCAAUUUUGGUUAUCAUAAAAUGGUUGGAGGAAUGUAGCUUCGAUCUCGUAUUGAAGUGUCAUAGCCUUCGGCAGAUGUGAUGAUCGAGAUUGAGGAUUGCAACGGAUACCCGUUCGGGCUACCUGUCUGACUCUCUGAUC